AGCUUAUUGAGAUCUAAUAAUAAGUAUCUUCUGCCCAGUGAAAAAUUUAACGGCCGCGGUAUCCUGACCGUGCAAAGGUAGCAUAAUCACUUGCCUUUUAAUUAGAGGCUAGAAUGAAAGAAUAAACAUGAGUUUAACUUUUCCUCUUAUAUCUAUAAAAAUUAUCCCUCAGGUGAAGAGACCUGAAUUCAAUAAAAAGACAAGAAGACCCUAUCAAGCUUUAUCCUCCUGAACCCUAUUUCUCUCGAGUAUUUAAUUGGGGCGAUUAAUGGAAAUCUAUGAACCUCCAUAAACUCCACGAAUCAUACUUCCAAAAUUUAAUAUUUUAAACCAAGUAAGCUACUGUAGGGAUAACAGGCUAAUAUUUUCUGAGAGUUCAAAUUAAAGAAAAUGAUUGGCACCUCGAUGUUGGCUUAGGACACCUUUAUUUUGCAGAAAAAAUAAAAGAUAGUUUGUUCAACUAUUAAACUCCU
rnacentral:rRNA from 1 species